rnacentral:snRNA from 1 species
AGCUUUGCGCAGUGGCAGUAUCGUAGCCAAUGAGGUUUAUCCGAGGCGCGAUUAUUGCUAAUUGUAAUUACUUAGAAAAAAAUG